ensembl:lncRNA LRP4-AS1 LRP4 antisense RNA 1
GGACCAGACGCCGCCUGCACGGGUGGGGACGCUGGUCGCUGCCGGGGGCAAGUCUGCCGACUCCAGAAAGAAAGGCGAAAGAAUAGAUUGUGAAGCUAAGUGCUGUGAGGGAAACCAGAGGCAGCUGAGAUGUCGUGGAAGUAACAGCGAAUGAAGCCAGGAUGCUGGAUUCUGACCUUGGAACUGUUCUGAGAGGCUGUUUGAUGCAAGACUCCCACCUGCGGGUAUCAUAGUCCAGGGUAAGGCCAUUGGGCCAACCCAGGUCUGUGUUGAUGAGGACCUUCCGCUCAGAACCAUCCAAGUUUGCCCGUUCGAUCUUGGCAAUGUGGCCCCAGUCUGUCCAGAAGAGGUACCUGAGACACAACAGUGCCAUCAUCAUCAAGGCAUGGGAAGACAGCACCCAGAGGUUGAGAGAACACAGAGGACCCACUAACACCAUCUUUCCACCCAGCCCUUCUUCCCUGGAUCUCUCUUCUGCUGGCCAUAAACUUACCCCUUCCUGGGGAAAACAGCAAUGGCCCGGGGCUCAUCCAGGCUAUUGUUGAUCAGUACUUUGCGGCAGGAACCAUCCAGCCUGGACGCCUCAAUGGUAUUUCGACCUGUGUCUGUCCAGUACAGGUUCCUGGCCACCCAGUCCACUGCCAGCCCGUCAGUGGUCUUCAGCCCUCGCCCGAUCACUGUCUCCAUGUUGCUGCCGUUCAGGUCUGCUCGCCUUGGGGAGAGCCCAGUGUUGGAUGAGCAACCAGACUGACCCAGAAUAGAGUAGAACUUUAACCCAUGUUCCCAUAACUGGACCCCACUGAACUGUAAGCUCCACAGGGAUAGAGACCAGGUAUCUAUGAGUACAUUCCUCAGCACCCAGCAUGAUAGAUGUUCAAUAAAAUAAUUGCAGAAUGAAGGAACCAGUUCUUAGGAGGACACAGUAUUUCCUGCUAACUGGACAUAGUGGCGGUUGCCAGGGGAUGUCUUGCUAGAAGACAAGUUUAUCAUUCCCCACAUACCUUUGGGAAGAGACAAGGAUUGCUAGGUGGUGAUGAUAAGAAACGCAGAUUUGUCAAAACCAACCUGUGCAUUUUUUAAAAGUUAAAAACAAUUUUAAAUACAAGUAGAUAUGAGGUUUCAUUAUGUUGCCUAGGCUGGUCUUGAACUCCUGGGCUCAAGCAAUCUUCCCGCCUUGGCCUCCCAAAGUGCUGGGAUUAUAGGCGCGAGCUACCACGCCAGACCCUAAUUGUGCACUUUUGCAAAGGCCCUAUGGGCAGGAGGGAACUCUACCUCAGAAUGGGGAGCAUGUCACUGUCACCUAGGGGACUUCCCUAAACUGUAUAUGCCUACCUGUCCCCAGUUUGAGAUUCUAAUACAUCCCUUGGGGAGAGCAAAGGGGAAUGUUCCCUGUUCCUCCAUGUGAGAAUAUCUGCCAUGGUAAACCACUCUUACUGGUGGCAGGACAUCAUAUUCCUAAGCUGUGUUAGGGCCACAAAUUUAAAGACUAAAAAUAAAACAACGAAAAAAUAAAAAACAACAGCUUUGUAAACCACCAUAA